rnacentral:rRNA from 1 species
CGGGACGGGCGAGUAAUGUCUGGGAAACUGCCUGAUGGAGGGGGAUAACUACUGGAAACGGUAGCUAAUACCGCAUAACGUCGCAAGACCAAAGAGGGGGACCUUCGGGCCUCUUGCCAUCGGAUGUGCCCAGAUGGGAUUAGCUAGUAGGUGGGGUAACGGCUCACCUAGGCGACGAUCCCUAGCUGGUCUGAGAGGAUGACCAGCCACACUGGAACUGAGACACGGUCCAG